GUUGACCUCGGAUCAGGUAGGGAUACCCGCUGAACUUAAGCAUAUCAAUAAGCGGAGGAAAAGAAACCAACAGGGAUUGCCUCAGUAACGGCGAGUGAAGCGGCAACAGCUCAAAUUUGAAAUCUGGCGCAAGCCCGAGUUGUAAUUUGUAGAGGAUGCUUCAGGGCAGCGGCCGGUCUAAGUUCCUUGGAACAGGACGUCAUAGAGGGUGAGAAUCCCGUAUGCGACCGGUUGGCACCCGUCACGUAGCUCCUUCGACGAGUCGAGUUGUUUGGGAAUGCAGCUCUAAAUGGGUGGUAAAUUCCAUCUAAAGCUAAAUACCGGCCAGAGACCGAUAGCGCACAAGUAGAGUGAUCGAAAGAUGAAAAGCACUUUGGAAAGAGAGUUAAAAAGCACGUGAAAUUGUUGAAAGGGAAGCGCAUGCAACCAGACUUGUCGGCGGCGUUCCGCCGGUCUUCUGACCGGUCCACUCGCCGCCGGCAGGCCAGCAUCAUCUGGGCGCGCCGGACAAAGGCGCGGGGAAUGUAGCUCCUCGGAGUGUUAUAGCCCCGCGCACAAUACGGCGCCGCCCGGGUGAGGUCCGCGCUCCGGCUAGGAUGCUGGCGUAAUGGUUGUAUGCGGCCCGUCUUGAAACACGGACCAAGGAGUCUAACAUCUAUGCGAGUGUUCGGGUGUCAAACCCCUGCGCGGAAUGAAAGUGAACGGAGGUGGGAAGCGCAAGCUGCACCAUCGACCGAUCCUGAUGUCUUCGGAUGGAUUCGAGUAAGAGCAUAGCUGUUGGGACCCGAAAGAUGGUGAACUAAACUUGGCCAGAGCGAAGCCAGAGGAAACUCUGGUGGAGGCUCGCAGCGGUUCUGACGUGCAAAUCGAUCGUCAAAGCUGGGUUUAGGGGCGAAAGACUAAUCGA
rnacentral:rRNA from 1 species